CUUUAUUCUCAUCCAGGUCGCAGAUGAGCUUGUCGGCCGCUCGCCGGUUCCCGGUGUCCUGUGGGGAGACAGAGCGGAACGGCUCACACCGGGCAAAUUGUACCCCUGGAUGUCUACUGGAACGAUGGCGCAGCGAUUUGAUGCCAAGAUUAGAUACGGGCGUUAUUGGGAGCUCCAUAUUUGGAGGUGCGGGAGGUGAUGCACAACAGCCACCUGCUCGGAGGACCUCGGGGAUUGUCAUCCCGGAAAAAGGCGACGUGUGUCAUCUCAGCUCUGCGGUGGCUUCUUCCUAAUCUCGGUUGGGAGGAAGCAAACCCGUCCGCGGCCGAGAUGCUCCGCUGUCAUUGAUGCAACAUCCCAGGAGGGUGGGAAUCCUUCCCCGACCCUGCAGGCAAACAGCUCACCUCUGAAUCACCGGCUUUCAUUACUCUCCUCUGCCUGGCAGAUGUCACAACCGCAUCCAGGCCCUUAUUCUUACAAGGCAUCCAGGGCGUGUGUGUGUGCUCAGAGCAGCCACGUACCAUCCAAACCCAUCGCCAGACGUUUCCCAGACAUUUUGAUUGCGCCGGUGACGUUUGUCUCUGCCCUGAUCCCCACCAGCUCUGAAGGGUCCCAUGGAGCAGUUCGGCUUCUCACGUAUGGGCUCUGUCCCAUGGGACCCUUUGCAGAGGGGGGGACACCGAGCCCUGGCUUUGGGGGUCUUCAGUGUCCAUUGCAAUGUGCCCAGGGAUGUCAUGGUGCCCAGGGAUGUGGUGGUACCCAAGGAUGUCAUGGUGCCCAGGGAUGUGGUGGUACCAGGAUGUCAUGGUGCCCAGGGAUGUCAUGGUGCCCAGGGAUGUGGUGGUACCCAAGGAUGUCACGGUGCCCAAGGAUGUCAUGGUGUCCGGGGAUGUCAUGGUGCCCAGGGAUGUGGUGGUACCCAAGGAUGUCACAGUGCCCAAGGAUGUCAUGGUGCCCGGGGGUGUCAUGGUGCCUGGUGAUGUGGUGGUACCCAAGGAUGUCACAGUGCCCAGGGAUGUCAUGGUGUCCAGGGAUGUCAUGGUGCCCAAGGAUGUGGUGGUACCCAAGGAUGUCACGGUGCCCGGGGAUGUGGUGGUACCCAGGGAUGUGGUGGUGCCCAAGGACGUCACAGUGCCCAAGGAUGUCAUGGUACCCAGGGAUGUGGUGGUACCCAAGGAUGUGGUGGUACCCAAGGAUGUGGUGGUGCCCAGGGAUGUCGUGGUGCGCAGAGAUGUGGUGGUCCCAUCCCUGUGUGGCCGGCACUGACUCACCAAAGGGCACCAACAUGGGCUGAGCCAUUCCUGCCACUCCGAAGCCUUCCCAGAUCAAACAGAUAGUUAUCGGGAUGGCUCAUGCCGCAGGAAUUGCCGUCCUCCCGACAGCACAAUGUCACGCCGCGGAGCUGAUCGCCAAACCAGAAGGAGGACCCAGGAGUCCCACAGCACAUUCCCAGCCCGGUGCUCUCGUUCCCCCCCCUUCCAUCGCUCCAACCACUUGACACAUUUCCUGUCUCUAAUUAAAUGCACACCACACCUUUCUGCUUAA